UCGCUCUCUCCCCCCAACCUCCUCUGCCUCGUUCGCCGACGACGACGGUGACGGCUGCCCCGCCGUCCCCCGUGGCCACAUCGCCAGCGUUACUAUGCCAGUGAAUUCAAGAUAUCACGCUAGCUUUCCAAUAACCCACUGAGCUUUGCCCACGGCUGCCCCCAUCGUCGCCGGCGGCCGGAGCGGGAGGGAGGAGAUAUCAUCAGAUCCCAGCGGGAAGCACACACCACUGCACAAGUGUCAGCAGUGGAGGAGAACGAGCGCUUGGAUCUUGAUCUUGAUGAUCUCGACGAAGCCGUCGGUGAAUUGUUCUUGGAUUUCUUCCUUCUGCUCUUCCUGGGCGGCUUUGGUAUGUCGGGAUGUGGUGGAUUUGCUUCCUUACCAGCAUUUUCGACAUAUAAACCGAAGGGUGAUAUAUCUUGAGGGUGAUCGAAAUCUGUCGAACAAACUGUCGCAAAUCAGUAAACAUAUAAUGAUGUAGUAUAAUUAAUAUCUGGUACUUUUUAG
rnacentral:sRNA from 1 species